rnacentral:rRNA from 1 species
GGGUUUGAUUCUGGCUCGGAAUUGAACGCUGGCCGGAGAUGCUUUACAUGCAAGUCGAACGGCAGCACGGACUUCGGUCUGGUGGCGAGUGGCGAACGGGUGAGUAAUGUAUCGGAACGUGCCUAGUAGCGGGGGAUAACUACGCGAAAGCGUAGCUAAUACCGCAUACGCCCUUCGGGGGAAAGCGGGGACCUUCGGGCCUCGCUGCACUAUUAGAGCAGGCCGAUAUCGGAUCGCUGGUUGAGGUGAGAUGGCUCACCAAGGCGCGACGAUCCGUAGCUGGUUUGAGAGGGCAACCAGCCACACUGGGACUGAGACACGGCCCAGACUCCUACGGGAGGGCAGCAGUGGGGAAUUUUGGACAAUGGGAAACCUGAUCCAGCCAUCCCGCGUGUGCGAUGAAGGCCUUCGGGUUGUAAACACUUUUGGCAGGAAAGAAACGUGCAGGAUAAUACCCCGUGCAACUGACCAAACACCUGCAGAAUAAAGCGCAAGCUAGCUACGUGCCAGCAGCCGCGGUAAUACGUAGGGUGCGGCGUUAAUCCAUACCCUGGGCGUAAAGCGUGCGCGAGCGGUUCGGAAAAGAAAGAUGUGAAAUCCCAGAGCUUAACUUUGGAGCUGCAUUUUUAACUACCGAGCUAGAGUGUGUCAGAGGGAGGUGGAAUUCCGCGUGUAGCAGUGAAAUGCGUAGAUAUGCGGAGAACCACCGAUGGCGAAGGUAGCCUCCUGGGAUAACACUGGCCCGCUCAUGCACAGCGUGGGAGCAAACAGGAUUAGAUACCCUGGUAGUCCACGCCCUCAGCGAUCAGCUAGCUGUUGGACGCUUCAGGCCUUGGUAGCGCAACCUUGCGUAAAAGUUGACCGCCUGGAAGUACGGUCGCAAGGAUAAAACUCGAAAAGGAAUUGACGGGGACCCGCACAAGCAAGCGGUGGAUGAUGUGGAUUAAUUCGAUGCGCGAAAAACCUUACCUACCCUUGACAUGUCUGGAAUCCCGAAGGGUCGGGAGUGCUCGCAAGAGAACCGGAACACCGGUGCUGCAUAGCUGUCGUCAGCUCGUGUCGUGAGAUGGUGGGUUAAAGUCUCCGCAACAGGCGCAACCCUUGUCAUUAGUUGCUACGAAGGCACUCUAAUGAGACUGCCGGUAAACCGGAGGAAGGUGGGGAUGACGUCAAGUCCUCAUGGCCCAUAUGGGUAGGGCUUCACACGUCAUACAAUGGUCGGGACAGAGGGUCGCCAACCCGCGAGGAGCCAAUCCCGGAAAUGAUCGUAGUCCGGAUCGCAGUCUGCAGCUGAACUGCGUGAAGUCCGGAAUCGCUAGUAAUCGCGGAUCAGCAUGUCGCGGUGAAUACGUUCCCGAGGUCUUGUACCACCGCCCGUCACACCAUGGGAGUGGGUUUUACCAAUGAUUAAUAACCGUAAGGAAGGCGAUUACCACAGUAGGAUUCUUCAGACGGGGUGAAGUCGUAAUAAAGGUAG